GGCAACGUGGCCGAGUGGUCUAAGGCGCUGUGUUUAGGCCGCAGUCCGACAAGGGCGUGGGUUCGAAUCCCACCGUUGUCA